rnacentral:tRNA from 1 species
GAUAAAGUAGAAUAAUAGAGUUCAUUUCGCUUACACUGAAAGAGUCAAUACUUAAUUGCUUUAUUA